CAGGCUUCAGCAGUGCUUAAAUUCUGAUCCUUUGAAGACACAUAGAACUGAAAAUGAUCAAUAGGAAAAUGAAGCCACCAUCAAUUCUGGAAACAGCACCACUUCUUGAAGAUCUGGAAAGGAUCACAGAAACAUAGACUCACUGAGGCUGUAAGGGACCACUGAAACUGGCUCACACAGCUCCAAGUAAGACAAGAUGUUUCUGCUUCUAUGAAACUUUUGGACCUUUUACCGAAUAUUUGUAUCUAAACUCCUUUACCAAGAGCA